UAGUAGACUAUAAUGUUCAUUAGCUUUUA
rnacentral:piRNA from 1 species